CUGUGCGUCGCCCGGGUGUCAUGGGUCAACCAAGCCAAGGCUUGCCGGAGGCCCAAACCUCUCCCUAUCAUUCAUGGUGAAUGGUGAGUAUUGCAUCAUUGCCUAUUCAAGCAUUAACAAGUACAAUCAAUGAGGAAAAUCUACCGGAUCUGAAGUACCAAUUCGAUACAAUUGAUGUUGAUAAAGGUGGACCAAUUACUGCAUUGAAGAAAUGCAGCAGUGGCCCUUGCGAAGGAUCUUCACAUUAAAGGCUCCUCAUGUUCUCAAGAUUAUUCAGAGAGUAGAAACAUUGCAUGCAGAAAUCUUCAAGAAAGAGGUGAUUUAAGUGGUAACCGAUGAAAUGCCUGCUGGUGAAGCUAUCAUGGAUCCAACUCACGACCUAAUUGGCCACAAAGACCAAAGUCUCGGAUUCCUGGAGCAACAAAUGUAGUGUUGUCAGUCUCUGAAGAUGUGAAUCCGUCUACUCCUAGACUACAACAAAGGGAUGAUUGGGAUACUGAAAGUCA